GGCACGGCCGGGCCGGGCAGGGCAAGGCCUACGCGGGCGCGCCCGCCCGGCACCGCUCCGCGGCCUCCACACCCCCCCCCGGCGGCAGCCAAUGGCGGCGCUGGGCCUGCGCGGGCGGGCCGCGCUGAGAGCGAGGAAUGACCCUGUGGAGUUCCCUUCCAUGCUUUGGGCAAAAUCCUUCAGGCUUCAUUGCUUCUUGCGCCAUUGGUGGCCCCUGCCUCUUUCUCAGAAUCUUGCCUCUCCUUCCUGAGCUCUUGAUCUCAGUCUUCGGUUCCAGCAUUUUAACCCUUUUCUAGCUGCACCAUUACCACAACAUAUCCUCCUCAUCAGUGGGGUAAUUACUGCAACCUGUUCCUCCCUUGCUACACAAAGAAAGGCUAGCCAUCAGUGUCCAGCCUGAGAAUGUCCUACUACUGUCAAGGCUGCAAAGAAACUGAAAACAGAAUAAGAAGACCUGAAGCUAUAAUAAUUAUUCUUGCCACUACACUUCUGUGCAUUUUUAUAUUCAAGAGAAAGGAUAGCAGCAAGCAAUUAACAACAAGCCCUUACAGAAACACAUCAACAUGCUUUAGUUCACCUAUGAAGUUUACUAAACAGGAAUGUCACAUGGGCUGAAGAAGGGAAAGGAAACUGUAAAUGAGAAGAAAUAUACCCACAUCUGAUUAAAUACUGUAAUAAGUUAGUCCCUACAGCUUCUGUAAUUCUUCAUAUUUUUACCAGCGUAGUACAGAUACUAUCACUUCUAGACAUGUUCAGUAUAAUAAUAUUUGUCAAGCCCCGUGCUUCGCUAGAUAAUUUUUGUUUUAUGCGAAGGGAAUAGUAAGAUUUUUUUUCUUCUUGCUGAGUGUUAAUGGUGAAAAAAACAGGUAUCAAGGAAACAAUAAAGAGAACGUUUCUAUUUUAUGCUUUAGAGCAGGCAAUAAGAAUGAUCUAUGGACUGCAAUAAGUGAAGAGGGGUUUUUUUGGCUCACCUAACAUCUUCAAACAAGUCCCUGAUACCUAGUGCAAACAAACAUAUAUAAACUCGCACACCUCUUCAGCAACAUCCAAAAAGUUAAAAAAAAGGAUCUCUUUUUCAAUAGGGAGCAAUGAGACUUCAAGAAAGUAAAUACUGUGAAGUUACAUAGUUUUCCAUAUAACUGCUUUUACUCUGUCCUUUGGUGGCCGAAGGUAACAUUUGCCAAAUCCAUUAACGUACACAAUUUAGAACACUGGUAUUAUUAUGAAAUAUACUACUAAUUUCUAUCACUGUUUUACUGUUCAAUAGCUACAUGAGGUUUUAUUUUAGUUGUGUUGUAGCUGAGCCCGGAGGCUUUGCCUGGGUAUUGCCUUACCCACUGUACACACACAAAAGUCAGCCCCUUGCUCAAAACUCAGCUUUAUGUGCAUUUAAGAGAGACACAGAUACUCAGAAUGAUGGACAGAUUUGUAAAGGAUAAGUUGGUUUUACCUUAAGUGACAUAGUUCAGUUCAGUCCUGGAAACACGUAAUAUAUAUUGAACAUGACUGCUAGAAGAAGACUACAUGCUAUAUCCACAAAGGGAUUUGAACGCUGAGAGGUUCCUCUCUCAGGUACCUCGCUUCCCUUUUCUUUCUGUAAUAUGUUGCUAGUCAUCUCGCAGAUCCAGCAUGUCAGCCUUAGUGGUUGUGUCCCCAGGUGUUUCUGGAGGCUUUGUAGUUGCUUUCCCCGCAGCCCCCUAAGCCUGGCGUUUGUAGUCGGUCUCGCAUCGCUGUAAUGCCACAGCUGAGAUCUUUGCCUCCGGUUGCAUCUGGAGUUGUGCAUAAUCUUGUUGCCCAAAGGAAAAAGCUGUAGUUCUCCUUCCUCCUUGUGAGAGCUGUUCACGUUACAUAUAUCCUGAAAUCUCACCCUCUACUUGAAAGUCAGCACACAGGCGUGUGUAUUAUUUCUUCCUGUUGUUGCCACAGUGCUCACACGCUGCCACAGCACACAUAAGUGUAUGGGCAGCAACAAUUCAUUUUCUUCAUGCCAAGGCCAGCUCCGCAAGUUUUACUGGUAUAAUUAAUCCCAUCGGGGGAGGAGAAGGUCAUUUAAAAAUAAAAGCCAAAAUAGGGUAAGAGGGUGCAUGUAACUAUGUCGUUACAAAGAUGACACACCAAAAUGAUGGUUUUCCUUGCUGUAUGGGAAUAGCUAUCCCAGUAUAAAGCACCUUUCUACAAAUAUAACUACAGACUUCUUAGGAAGUUGAGACAGUAGGGAAAUCGUGUUGCUUUAGUUCUGUCAGGACAAUUAAAAUGGUACCUUUUUUUGACAGACAAGCCCCGAAUAACCUAUGGCAAUUUUAAAUUCCUUGAUUUGGCCAAUGGUUUUCCAC